rnacentral:misc_RNA from 1 species
GAUGAAGAACGUAGCGAAAUGCGAUAAGUAACGUGAAUUGCAGAAUUCAGUGAAUCAUCGAAUCUUUGAACGCACAUUGCGCCCCCUGGUAUUCCGGGGGGCAUGCCUGUUCGAGCGUCAUUUCAACCCUCAAGCUCUGCUUGGUAUUGAGUCCAUGUCAGCAAUGGCAGGCUCCAAAAUCAGUGGCGGCGCCGCUGGGUCCUGAACGUAGUAAUAUCUCUCGUUACAGGUGCUCGGCGUGCUUCUGCCAAAACCCCAAUUUUUCUAUGGUUGACCUCGGAUCAGGUAGGGAUACCCGCUGAACUUAAGCAUAUCAAUAAGCGGAGGA